rnacentral:lncRNA from 1 species
CUGUCCAUUUUUUUUUUACCAUCAUUUAAAUCUCUCUAGAAGUCUACUUAAUCUCCUGAUAUUGUUCGCUUUCUAGUUGAAACUACAGAAGACUUGCAUCCCACUAUUUUGACAUGAUGGGUGAGAUUUGGCUUGGCAUGGGCGUGGCUUUGGUCUUUUGUUUAAAAGUUAUUGUGUGCAUCUUCCAUUUGGUUGCUAUUAUCUGGGAUCAUUUGUAUUGGAAUCUAGUUUCAGUUAAGGAGGAGAGGGAUGAAGUAAUAGAAAGAGAGGGGGAAGAGGAGGGAAGAGAGGGAGAGGGCAAAGAAGACAAAGAGAGGAGGAGAGGAGAAUGGGGGUGGGGGCAGUGUUGGCCGGAGGGUUGUCAGCAGGGUUGCAUGUCCAUCUUAGAAAGAAGGGUUGGGAGAAGAGAUGGGGUUAACAUUAGGACUUUGGUAUUUUAGUUUUUUUUAACUCUUUUGAGUUUAACGUCAUAUUUCAUCUUAUUUUGAAAUAACCUAACAAAUCUAU